GAUCACAACAUUACUGGGCGCACACCAUGUUCUCCAAAGAAAUCAAUUGGCUAGCUUAGUGGUGCCCUGUUGUAUUUGUUAAGGAUCUCAUUGUUUUUAAGAGAACAACAUGUUUGCUGCAUCAACUCUGGAUAUCAAACGACUUAUGUAAAAGAAUCCCAUGUCAUGUUCCUGAUGUGGUAUUUCACUACCACCCCAGC
rnacentral:lncRNA from 1 species